UACAGAGGGGGGCAAGCGUUGUUCGGAAUUACUGGGCGUAAAGGGCGCGUAGGCGGCCUCUUAAGUCGAACGUGAAAUCCCCGGGCUCAACCCGGGAACUGCGUCCGAUACUGGGGGGGCUUGAAUCCGGGAGAGGGAUGUGGAAUUCCAGGUGUAGCGGUGAAAUGCGUAGAUAUCUGGAGGAACACCGGUGGCGAAGGCGGACAUCCUGGACCCGGUAUUGACGCUGAGGCGCGAAAGCCAGGGGAGCAAAGCGGGG
rnacentral:rRNA from 1 species